AUUGAACGCUGGCGGAAUGCUUUACACAUGCAAGUCGAACGGCAGCACGGGGGCAGCCCUGGUGGCGAGUGGCGAACGGGUGAGUAAUACAUCGGAACGUGCCCGGUCGGGGGGGAUAACGUAGCGAAAGAUACGCUAAUACCGCAUACGAUCUGAGGAUGAAAGCGGGGGACCUUCGGGCCUCGCGCGAUCGGAGUGGCCGAUGGCCGAUUAGGUAGUUGGUGGGGGAAAGGCCUACCAAGCCGACGAUCUGUAGCUGGUCUGAGAGGACGACCAGCCACACUGGGACUGAGACACGGCCCAGACUCCUACGGGAGGCAGCAGUGGGGAAUGUUGGACAAUGGGCGCAAGCCUGAUCCAGCCAUUCCGCGUGCAGGACGAAGGCCUUCGGGUUGGAAACUGCUUUUGUACGGAACGAAAAGGCUCUGGCUAAUACCUGGGGCUCAUGACGGUACCGUAAGAAUAAGCACCGGCUAACUACGUG
rnacentral:rRNA from 1 species